rnacentral:tRNA from 13 species
AAACUUUUAAGUCGAAAUUUUAAUUACCGUUCUGAUCAGAGAAUUCAUGUCAGGAUAUGAAAGUUUU